AGCGGGGUAGAGCAGUCAGGAGUGCUCGGUGGGCUCAUAACCCACAGGUCGGAGGUUCAAAUCCUUUCCCCGCUA
rnacentral:tRNA from 1 species